rnacentral:lncRNA from 1 species
UCCAGAAGUACCAUGUUCUGUCUCUCCAGUUUUCUGCUCUGGAGACUUCUCCAAGAAGAAGGUGCUCAGCAGUACCCCUCAGAACCAAGACCUUUGGACAGCUCCAGCCAGAGCCCCAGCCAACUAAACAAGAUUUCUUCCCCUAUUAUCACGUUUUCAAGUUCCCUAAGAUCCAUGCUUACCUCUCCCUGCAACAUCAAGAUGAGGGGAUCUCCAGCAGUCAGUCAGUGGAGAGGAGUCUCAACUUCCCCAUCCUCCUCUUGCCAAUAAGCACUUCUCUCCCUGUUGCCCUACACCCAAUCUUCCUCCUGAUUCCCUGCCAGCCACCCGCCCCCCACCCCGCCAAGUAAUGCUGCCACUUUUCUCCCCUGAUGUGGGUUAAGGAUUUCCA